rnacentral:rRNA from 1 species
GGACGAACGCUGGCGGCGUGCCUAACACAUGCAAGUCGAACGGACGAGGGGAGCUUGCUCCCUGAGUUAGUGGCGAACGGGUGAGUAACGCGUGAGCAACCUGCCUUUCAGAGGGGGACAACGGUUGGAAACGACCGCUAAUACCGCAUGAAACAGUUGGAUCGCAUGAUCUGACUGUCAAAGAUUUAUCGCUGAAAGAUGGGCUCGCGUCUGAUUAGAUAGUUGGUGGGGUAACGGCCUACCAAGUCGACGAUCAGUAGCCGGACUGAGAGGUUGAACGGCCACAUUGGGACUGAGAUACGGCCCAGACUCCUACGGGAGGCAGCAGUGGGGAAUAUUUGGGCAAUGGGGGAAACCCUGACCCAGCAACGCCGCGUGAAGGAAGAAGGCUUUCGGGUUGUAAACUUCUUUUACCGAGGACGAAGAACGUGACGGUACUCGGAGAAAAAGCCACGGCUAACUACGUGCCAGCCGCGGC